UCCAGACUCCUACGGGAGGCAGCAGUGGGGAAUAUUGCACAAUGGGCGAAAGCCUGAUGCAGCGACGCCGCGUGAGUGAAGAAGUAUUUCGGUAUGUAAAGCUCUCUCAGCAGGGAAGAAAAUGACGGUACCUGACUAAGAAGCCCCGGCUAACUACGUGCCAGCAGCCGCGGUAAUACGUAGGGGGCAAGCGUUAUCCGGAUUUACUGGGUGUAAAGGGAGCGUAGGCGGCGUAGCAAGUCUGAAGUGAAAACCCGGGGCUCAACCCUGGGACUGCUUUGGAAACUGUUUUGCUAGAGUGUCGGAGAGGUAAGUGGAAUUCCUAGUGUAGCGGUGAAAUGCGUAGAUAUUAGGAGGAAC
rnacentral:rRNA from 1 species